UCCCGGGUCGUCUAAUGGCAGGACAAAGAGUUUUGGUCUCUUGAAUGAGGGUUCGAUUCCUUCCCCGGGAGCCA
rnacentral:tRNA from 1 species